CUAGUAAGUUCAAAGAACAAGAUCCACAGAUUGAGUAGUUUGUUAGUUUUUUCUGCUGGUCAAAAAUUGAAGUUGUGGAACAUUUCUUUUUGAUGAAUUAGACCUCUUCCCCCUGUCCCUGAUUUGGAGAUAUCAGAGAAGUCUGUUGAACAGGCAGCUGAUGUGAUUCGAGCAUGGGUUAAUCAUGCAUUGGCACUUGCUCAUGAGAUUGCCAUUUGUGGGAAUCUGAGGAUUCUUCUUCAGGUUGCUGCAUUGUUGUGGUUUAUUUCCUCUAUUGGUAGCUUGUGCAAUUUCAUCACAUUUGUCUACAUUGGAGUGCUUCUUGCUCUAUCAAUUCCAGUAUUGUAUGAUAAUUACCAGAGCCAGAUUGAUGUUCCUGUUGGUGAUACUACAAAUGAAGACACUAUCACAUAAUAAUA